GGUCUGAUCGAUCACUCGCUCAUGAGGUGGUUUAGACAAUGGGUCAUCUUGAUCUUCAGAUGUACCGACAUGGUUGUCUACUUAUUUUUCAAACCUUAAGGUGUGAAUUGCAUUUAAUUGGUUGAUCUGGGCUCCUUGUUGUGGUCCUUGAUUGCUCUGAGUUCUAGGAUUAGUGUCGGGUUUACUCGAUAGUUUAUCUUUUUCUCUUUCACUCACAG
rnacentral:lncRNA from 1 species